rnacentral:rRNA from 1 species
AACGAACGCUGGCGGCAUGCCUAACACAUGCAAGUCGAACGAACCCUUCGGGGUUAGUGGCGCACGGGUGCGUAACGCGUGGGAAUCUGCCCUUUGCUUCGGAAUAACAGUUAGAAAUGACUGCUAAUACCGGAUGAUGUCUUCGGACCAAAGAUUUAUCGGCAAGGGAUGAGCCCGCGUAGGAUUAGGUAGUUGGUGGGGUAAAGGCCUACCAAGCCGACGAUCCUUAGCUGGUCUGAGAGGAUGAUCAGCCACACUGGGACUGAGACAAGGCCCAGACUCCUACGGGAGGCAGCAGUGGGGAAUAUUGGACAAUGGGCGCAAGCCUGAUCCAGCAAUGCCGCGUGAGUGAUGAAGGCCUUCGGGUCGUAAAGCUCUUUUACCAGGGAUGAUAAUGACAGUACCUGGAGAAUAAACUCCGGCUAACUCCGUGCCAGCCGCCGCAGUAACAC